GCCCGGUUGGCGGAAUUGGCAGACGCAACGGACUUAAAAUCCGUUGUCCGCGAGGACGUGUGGGUUCGAGCCCCACACCGGGCACCA
rnacentral:tRNA from 1 species